UACGUAGGGUGCAAGCGUUGUCCGGAAUUAUUGGGCGUAAAGAGCUCGUAGGCGGUCUGUCGCGUCGGCUGUGAAAACCCGGAGCUCAACUCCGGGCCUGCAGUCGAUACGGGCAGACUGGAGUUCGGCAGGGGAGACUGGAAUUCCUGGUGUAGCGGUGAAAUGCGUAGAUAUCUGGAGGAACACCGGUGGCGAAGGCGGCAUCCUGGACCGAUACUGACGCUGAGGAGCGAAAGCCAGGGGAGCAAACGGG
rnacentral:rRNA from 1 species